UUUUGAGUGUUCGUUGUAUAGAUCGAGUCGAAACUCUGUCCGGUUGUCGUUGUUACGUAAUAAAACGUUUUUUAAUUACGCUUCGCGCACGAUUACGGUUCGAUUUAACGGAUUCCGCACGUUAAAUCGAAUCCACCGCAGAUCUAGUGAUCGUUUACGAUCCGAUCCUGAACUCACAAGUGGUAUUAGAGCUACGGAUAGCUCUGCGUGUAAUCGUUUGCGAAUCGGACGAGUUUCGAAUGAUUUCGACUUGAUUCAGUGAAGUUUUAGGUUGUUUCGGUUGAUUUUUGAUGUGUUUCAAACAAUUUUAGAUCUGAUUAGGUUUGUGUCAGAUUGAAUCUUAUACAUAUCAGAUCUGAUACACUGUUCUCGGAUUGAUUUUCGGUAAAUUUCGGUUCGUUUCAAUAAUUUCUGGUUGAGUUUCGGUGAUUUUCAAACUGAUUUGGUUGUUUGUCAAAUAGAUUUCAAACUGUGCUGAUUGUUUUCGGUAUAAUCGGAUCAUGUUAGAUUGAUUUUCAUUCAGUUUUGGUGUAUCGAAUGUGUAUAUCGAACAGAAUCGAUGAUGUUCAGUUAAAGUUUUUGAUAGUUUCGGACAGUUCACAUCAGAAAAUUGAUUGAUGAACUGAUUUGAGUAUGAUGUUCAUCAUGGAUGUUGAAAUAUAUCGAUCUAAUGGAUGUGUGAAUGAAUGUUUUUCUGGUUUGAUCGAUCUUAAUCUGAUCAAAUUGUUGCAACAGUUUGUAGAAUGAAAUCUGAUUUGAAAUAGGUGAUAACUGAUAGUUAUAGAUGAUGAAAUACUUGAUAAUUGUUAAUUGCACAUGGUGUUAUCUGGAUUUGAGUAGACCUGUACUUUGAUCUUAGUCAUCUGAAUUGGUUAUAUUCGCGAUAAAAGUUGUUAUGAUUGUUGUAUAAAAAUAGAAAAGAGUUUCAAGAUCUGAAACUUGAAAUAAAAAUGAAUUGUAAGUUGUAGUUCCAGAUUUGAAUCGACUGAGUAUCAACUUAUUGUUUACAAAGAUAGUCUGAUUGUUGAUUGUUCGAAAUAACAAUUUGCAGUAUCAGCUGCAAUUCACAAAUGAUCGACAUCGGACGAAUUUCGGUGACAUUGAUCCUGAUUUCGAUCAGUUUCGAACUGAUUUUGUGAUGAAUUGUUCAUCAUGAAUGCGUUUUAGUGUGUUUGAAACUUGUUUUGAUCGAUUUCGGAUUGUUUCGUGUGAUUUCGAUGAAUUUCAAAUCAUUUUGGUGUAUAUUGGAUCGAGCCUGAACGUCUCUGUUAGUUUUAGAACUAAGUGAUAAGGUACAUCUCAUUGUUUGGAUAUUCAUCGAAGUUACAACAGUGAAGUUUUUUUGCAAAAAAUAUGUUUGUUUGGUUAUAAACUGAUUUGCAGGUUAAUAUUGAGUAGUGUUUGCUGGUGAUAUAAAAAAAAUCGCAAAUUAUAAAGUUAAUGAGCUGUUAAAAGUGUAGACUUAGGUUUUUGGGUAUAAUAAUCAAAUUAAGUUGAGUGUCAUAAAAUUGUGGUCACCCACAAAGUGGUUAAUAUCAAUUUUGAUGGUUCUUUGUCCAAGUGAAACAACUUAGUGUUGUCAGCUCACUUAAUUACGGCCCAAUCAUAUUCUUUUGAUAGUCAAUAGUGUUGGCCCAACUAAUAAACUUCAAUAACGACAUCAUUCAUCUCGACCCAAUUAACAAAGUAUUGUCAGACUUGUCAUGUGAAUAAGUGCAGCCCAAUUCAUUAUACGGCCCAAUCAAAGACAUCACAAUCCAAUUCAAGAGAUCUUGUUUUGUUCAAGCUUAAAGUGCAACAAAUCGAGCGGCAAUCCAAACGAGUUGCCACCCGAUCCUAAUUAGUUCUUUUUGUCUGUGUUUCAGGUGAUUUGUCAAGCAUCGGAUACUCGCCCGAGCAAAUCUCCACCCGAUCCGUUGUCACCGGAUUUUUGUCACUCAAUCGGAUAUUCAUCUGAUUCAGUGGUUUGAUAAAGUGAUUGAACUGAUCUUAGAUUGUUUGAAUUUUCGUAUCGUUUAAAAAUCUGUCUUUGUAAAUAUUUCAAAACCGAAACAUGGGUUCUGAGUUUUAUAUUACACAGAAUAAGUUUGAAAGUU
rnacentral:lncRNA from 1 species